AGAGUUUGAUCCUGGCUCAGGAUGAACGCUGGCGGCAUGCCUAACACAUGCAAGUCGACUGUAAUAGAAUUAAGCAAUUAAUUAGAUUAUGGUGGCGGACGGGUGAGUAACACGUAAAUAACCUGCCCCUAAGACAGGGAUAACUAUUUGAAAGAGUAGCUAAUACCUGAUGGACUUAUGAGAGGGAGAUAACAUAAGUA
rnacentral:rRNA from 1 species